ACAUGCACUGAUACCUGACAUGCACUGAGAACUUAUAUAGACAGGUUUGUGCCUUGCCAAAUAAUGUCCAAUCAAGGCUGCAUGAUCGAAUCCUACCCUGUGGAAUCUCUGUGGAGGAGUCUGCAUGAUAGAUUCCUACCCUGUGGGGCUCUGUGGAUGAGUCUGCAUGAUAGAUUCCUACCCUGUGGAAAUCUGUGUCUGAUAAAUAGUGCUGUUUCAAAGGUCAAACAGCGUCUGCAGAGCAGCACUUCUAUUACUUGCCUCCCAUCCACCACCCUCUUCCUCCUCUCCUCCUCUCACUCCUCUCACUCCUCUAUUACUGUCAUCCCAACACCUUCCUCUCCUCCAUCACUCUCACUCCCAAUCAACCAGGGAGGGGUGAGAGGGGACAGACCCUGGUGGAGCUAUGCACCACCCCACCCCUAUACCUCUGUCUCAGCCCUCCUUAACCCUGCACCCCAUCCAUCCACAUCCCUAACUCAAAGCCGGCCUAGACAGUGUUAACACACACACACACACACACGUUUAAUAAAUCAGCCUGGUGCUAAUGGAGCUGAGGGGGUCUUGCAAAGAGGGAUCACAUUUCCACUCUCGCUGCUGCCCCUAUAUUGAUAGUGUGCAUGUGUCCAUGUAUUAAUAGCCCAUCGCUUUGCAGUGUCCGCCAGGCUAGUGUCAGAGCAGGUGAUAUAUGGGUGGCCAACUGGUGAUGGGGACGUUCUUCGGUGAUGUAUGUGUCUGUUGUGAUGAAGAUGUAGGGUGUGUGUGUGUGUGUGUGUGUGUGUGUGUGUGUGUGUGUGUGUGUGUGUGUGUGUGUGUGUGUGUGUGUGUGUGUGUGUGUGUGUGUGUGUGUGUGUGUGUGUGUGUGUGUGUGUGUGUGCGUGUGUGUGUGUAUUCCAUUCUAUAUUGUAUUCUAUCCACGCCUAAUCUGCACCUCUGAUUUACAAAGACCCAGCAGCUAGAGCCUGCAUGCAACCACAGCCUCUGGCUCAAAGACAUCUCAGUGUUUUUUACUGCCGACUUCUGCCCUAUCUACAGUGGUGUAAAGUACUUAAAUAAAAAUGUAGUACUACUCCAGUAGUUUUUUGGGGGGUAUCUGUACUUUACUUUACUAUUUAUAUUUUUGACAACUUUUACUUCACUACAUUACUAAAGUGCGUACAUUGUGCGUACAUUUAAGCACACCUCUUGACCAUGAGCACCCACAGCACCUUGUUGUAGAAAAGUCAAACUGAUAAUGAAAUACCAUCCACCAAAUGGAGAAAGGUUUGACAUACUGGACCAAAUCAUAAACUAUGAAGAAAAAACUAAUCACAUGAAUAGAUAAUUAAUGUAUUUCUUUUAUAGACACUUAAGUUACUAAUAGUUUUCUCAGGGGUGCUAGCGAAUUCAUAAAUAUGAAACCAUUUAAGCCUAAUUGAAUAAUAAAGUUAAUUUGAAAGAGAGUGGAAUGUAAGGUCGGAGGCAAUUGAGUUACCAGUUAAAUAAUAUAAAAGGCAACACUGAGGCGUUGUGACUUGGUGGAGGAUCUGACACAAGCUGCAUUACACAGGGAGAGUGUUUUCAAUGAGCGUGCACAUUUAUUUUUGCUGACUUGCGACGCUUGGUUUAUUAGUAGAUUUAGUUUUCCAAGGCAUGUUUUAUUGUAUCGCUGCGACCAACUCUCUCCAGUAUUAGAAAGGGAGACGAGACGCACCAAUACCAUCCCAGUGCAAACCCAUGUCCUCUCCACCCUGGGAUUUUUGGCCACUGGAACAUUCCAACGGUAGAUUGCGGAUCGAUCUGGCAUUUCACAACCAACCAUGAGCCGGAUAUUUCCUGCAGUCCUUUGUGGCAUUAUUAAUUGACCCCCACAAUACAUACAGUUUCCUUCACUGCUGUGCAACAGGCCAGAGUGAAAAGGGAUUUCUGGAUUUACAAAUGUCGCAGGAACAAUUGACUGCAUCCACAUCACAAUAAAAGCACCAUCAUUGAACGAAUUGAACUUCGUCAACAGAAAAGGUUUCCAUUCUGUCAACGUGCAUGUCAUCUGUGAUUCACAUUUGGCUUUGUUGAAUGUCGUGGCCAGAUGGCCAGGUGGGACACAUGAUUCAUUCAUUGUGAAGAACAGCUCAGUUGGGCCUUAACCUCCAGGAAGGAGCUGUUGAGGACGGACGGCUCAUUGGUAAGUGACUUGUUUUAUUUGCAAGGUUUUAUUGUUAGACCUCUACUGGGAAAAAAUAUCUAAAUGUUGUGUUCAUAACUGCAGGAGACCCAUGAACAACAUGGCUGCUGACUCACAAACCCUUCAAGCCAACAAGAGGCCAGGUACAACCAAGCCCACACACACACCAGAACAACAGUGGAGCGCACCAUAGGCCUGCAGAAAGGGCGUUGUGCUUGUCUGGGACAGGAGACACACUGCAAUACCAGCCUAGCAAAGUUUGCCUCUGAAAUGAUAUUCCUUCAAAUGCCAUUACGUGAAUACAAUGUGCAUAAUUCCUUUUUUAGGUUUGCUACAUUGUCAAGGCUUGCAGUGUGCUCCACAACAUUACAAUCAAAAAUGUCAUUCCGCUGAAUGAUCUACUCAGACACGAUGAGCCCAUGCCUGACAGGGAGUUUCCCACCACCCAUAGGCCUGGCACUGAGGACCAGAGUCAAUAUCAUACAACGCUUUUAGGACUGCGUCAGACAAAACAUAGCGGAGCAGCUGAAGUGCCCGACCAAAGAGGACACCCUUCUGGUACACCUGGGGCAGAGGGGUCAGAGGACACCCUUCUGGUAGGCCUAGGGAUGAGGGGUCAGAGGACACCCUUCUGGUAGGCCUGGGGAUGAGGUGUCAGAGGACACCCUUCUGGUAGGCCUGGGGAUGAGGGGUCAGAGGACACCCUUCUGGUAGGCCUGGGGCAGAGGGGUCAGAGGACACCCUCCUGGUAGGCCUGGGGAUGAGGGGUCAGAGGACACCCUCCUGGUAGGCCUGGGGAUGAGGGGUCAGAGGACACCCUCCUGGUAGGCCUGGGGAUGAGGGGUCAGAGGACACCCUUCUGGUAGGCCUGGGGAUGAGGGGUCAGAGGACACCCUCCUGGUAGGCCUGGGGAUGAGGGGUCAGAGGACACCCUUCUGGUAGGCCUGGGGAUGAGGGGUCAGAGGACACCCUUCUGGUAGGCCUGGGGAUGAGGGGUCAGAGGACACCCUUCUGGUAGGCCUGGGGAUGAGGUGUCAGAGGACACCCUCCUGGUAGGCCUAGGGAUGAGGGGUCUGUCAAGAUUUCAUGUUUUGUUAUUUUUGUUAUAUUACUUUUGUAACAUUUAUUUAGUUACAUAUAUUUGUUAUAUUUAUUGUCAAGAAAAAAUAUUGAGAUGUGGUCCAUGUCUGAAAAUGGUUGUGAAAAUAAAGCUUGAAUUACCA